UUGAUCUCAAAUCAGGUAGGACUACCCGCUGAACUUAAGCAUAUCAAUAAGCGGAGGAAAAGAAACUAACAAGGAUUCCCCUAGUAACUGCGAGUGAAGCGGGAAGAGCUCAAAUUUAAAAUCUGGCGUGCCUCUGGUCGUCCGAGUUGUAGUCUGGAGAAGYGUUUUCCGUGUUGGACCGUGUAUAAGUCUCUUGGAACAGGGCGUCAUAGAGGGUGAGAAUCCCGUCUUUGACACGGACUACCAAUGCUAUGUGAUGCGCUCUCAAAGAGUCGAGUUGUUUGGGAAUGCAGCUCAAAAUGGGUGGUAAAUUCCAUCUAAAGCUAAAUACAGGCGAGAGACCGAUAGCGAACAAGUACCGUGAGGGAAAGAUGAAA
rnacentral:rRNA from 1 species